AUCAAACUGAUGACGUGAUGCGUGAUGACGCAACCAGGAAGCAUGCUACACCAUACGAUGUUUGACAACACAUUGACGGCACCAUUCGCUGGACAUGCCAGUACACAGGAUCGUAGCAAUUCAUAAUAAAAACGGCAUUAACAAAUUA